rfam:Aspergillus flavus AF70 184, whole genome shotgun sequence.
ACAUACGACCAUAGGGUGUGGAGAACAGGGCUUCCCGUCCGCUCAGCCGUACUUAAGCCACACGCCGAGAGGUUAGUAGUUGGGUGGGUGACCACCAGCGAAUCCCUCCUGUUGUAUGUU